rnacentral:lncRNA from 1 species
GUAGGUUUGUUCCACCUUUGAUGUUACAUAAAACUGUACUUUGGUGAUGUCUCACCCUAUAACUCCCUCUCUGGCCUAACCUAUUUUUACAUUUAAACAAAGUGUUUCAAGAAAUCCCCUUUCGGUAGUUAUGUAAAACAAGCCUGGAUGUUUUAUUUUAUAUUGUGAUACUGUGAUCUUUUUGAUAUCCCAGACUUACAAACAGAUAAAGUGAACCAAAUUUAGCAACUUAGCGAGUGUAAACUGAGACACACAUUCAGACUUAGAGGUGACAGUCUACAAAACUUCAUUAAAAAAACUAAGAAGAAAAUGACAACAAAAGCAACAAAAAAGAAAUCCACCUGCUAACAAAUGGAAAAACACUGAUGCCUAAAUAUAACUUAACUCACCUUGGAUGGCGUGUAGGAGAAAGACAGUUCACCACCUCAUCGAAUUAAAAUCCAUUGGUUUUGAUGCCAUCUGGAGUUUAGCGGAGUGGAGGUGGAUCACAUCAGUCUGACACGGAAAUGACAGCUGACAGCAGCCAAACAAGGAACAGUUGCAUAGUUUGACAACAAGAUGGCUCACAGAGGUGGCGUUGAGGGGCAAAUACGUACGUGUCACCCAGCUCCCAGCUGCGUGGACGGACCUCAGCCCUGUGAUGCUGUCGGCGGCGCUGAUAACCACAAUCACUCUGCUCACGUACCAUGAUUAGCGCGGGGACAAGAUGUCAUGUCACUCUGCUCGCGCUGAGGAGCCGAUGCUGUCGACGAGCCGCGUCCACACACCCAGAGGUCUCACGCAUGCGAGCUGAUGCUCUGCACCAUCGGCUUUAAGCAAACAAAAGUCACACUUGGCAUCAAGCUGCAUUAUCUCACAAAAACAAAGACGGUCAAACCCAAAGUUGUUCCAAAAACCAGCUGGUGAGAAAAGUACAGUAUCUUACAGUCACUUCCAGGAAGAUAAAUAGAAUUGAUGUAUUAAUAACCUAAAUGUGUGAUCACUGUUUGACAUUUAAUUCACAUAGGCUUGUAAAUGUUACCAUGGCACCUGGAUCAGUUGGACUCUAGCUAUAAAUUCCACUGAGGGUAAUUCUCUACCUAAUUAUAUGCAGAGCAGAGAUGGGUUUAAAACAACCUGUAGUUACUGAACCGUUAUCUUCUUACUCGAU